AAAAACCUCAAAAACCGACUUCCACGAGAAACUGCAGAACUGGAAUUAAUUAGCAAACUUGACACCAUAAAAUUAGGCCU